GAGUUUAUAGUUUAAUUGGUAGAACACAUUGCUCAUAACGAUGCAGCUGUAGGUUCAAUUCCUACUAAACUCA
rnacentral:tRNA from 1 species